AGACCAGACUCCUACGGGAGGCAGCAGUGGGGAAUAUUGCACAAUGGGGGAAACCCUGAUGCAGCGACGCCGCGUGAGUGAAGAAGUAUUUCGGUAUGUAAAGCUCUAUCAGCAGGGAAGAAAAUGACGGUACCUGAUUAAGAAGCCCCGGCUAACUACGUGCCAGCAGCCGCGGUAAUACGUAGGGGGCAAGCGUUAUCCGGAUUUACUGGGUGUAAAGGGAGCGUAGACGGCAGGGCAAGUCUGGAGUGAAAGCCCGGGGCCCAACCCCGGGACUGCUUUGGAAACUGCCAUGCUGGAGUGCUGGAGAGGUAAGCGGAAUUCCUAGUGUAGCGGUGAAAUGCGUAGAUAUUAGGAGGAACACCAGUGGCGAAGGCGGCUUACUGGACAGUAACUGACGUUGAGGCUCGAAAGCGUGGGGAGCAAACAGGAUUAGAUACCCCGGUAC
rnacentral:rRNA from 1 species